rnacentral:rRNA from 1 species
CUACGGGUUGCUGCAGGCGAGAAAACUUUGCAAUGUGCGAAAGCACGACAAGGUUAAUCCGAGUGGUCUCUGCUAAAGGGACCUUUUGACAGUCCUAGAAACACUGUUGAAUAAGGGGUGGGCAAGUUCUGGUGUCAGCCGCCGCGGUAAAACCAGCACCUCAAGUGGUCAGGAUGAUUAUUGGGCCUAAAGCAUCCGUAGCCCGCUUUGCCAGUUUUCGGUUAAAUCCAUAUGCUCAACAUAUGGGCUGCCGGGAAUACUACAAAGCUAGGGAGUGGGAGAGGUAGACGGUACUCGGUAGGAAGGGGUAAUAUCCUUUGAUCUAUUGAUGACCACCUGUGGCGAAGGCGGUCUACCAGAACACGUCCGACGGUGAGGGAUGAAAGCUGGGGGAGCAAACCGGAUUAGAUACCCGAGUAGUC